rnacentral:rRNA from 1 species
UAACACGGGGGGAGCAAGCGUUGUUCGGAAUCACUGGGCGUAAAGGGCGUGUAGGCGGUCAGGUAAGUGUGAUGUGAAAUCCCUCGGCUCACCCGAGGACCGGCAUCGCAUACUGCUUGGCUUGAGUACGGGAGAGGAUGUGGGAAUUCCUGGUGUAGCGGUGAAAUGCGUAGAUAUCAGGAGGAACACCGGUGGCGAAGGCGCACAUCUGGCCCGAUACUGACGCUGAGGCGCGAAAGCUAGGGGAGCAAACGGGAUUAGAUACCCCGGUAGUCCUAGCCGUAAACGGUGAUCACUAGGUGUUGGAGGCAUUGACCCCUCCAGUGCCGCAGCUAACGCAUUAAGUGAUCCGCCUGGGGAGUACGGCCGCAAGGUUG